rnacentral:rRNA from 1 species
AACGAACGCUGGCGGCAGGCUUAACACAUGCAAGUCGAACGCAUCCUUCGGGGUGAGUGGCAGACGGGUGAGUAACGCGUGGGAACGUGCCCUUCAGUUCGGGAUAACCCAGGGAAACUUGGGCUAAUACCGGAUACGUGCGAGAGCAGAAAGAUUUAUCGCGUGAAGGAUCGGCCCGCGUCUGAUUAGCUAGUUGGUGGGGUAAUGGCCCACCAAGGCGACAAUCAGUAGCUAGUCUGAGAGGAUGAUCAGCCACAUUGGGACUGAGACACGGCCGAAACUCCUACGGGAAGAAGGAGUGGGGAAUAUUGGACAAUGGGCGCAAGCCUGAUCCAGCCAUGCCGCGUGAGUGAUGAAGGCCUUAGGGUUGUAAAGCUCUUUCGUCCGGGACGAUAAUGACGGUACCGGAAGAAGAAGCCCCGGCUAACUUCGUGCCAGCAGCCGCCGUAA